rnacentral:rRNA from 1 species
GUGGGGAAUAUUGGACAAUGGGCGCAAGCCUGAUCCAGCCAUGCCGCGUGUGUGAAGAAGGCCUUUUGGUUGUAAAGCACUUUAAGCGAGGAGGAGGCUCCUUUAGUUAAUACCUAAAGAGAGUGGACGUUACUCGCAGAAUAAGCACCGGCUAACUCUGUGCCAGCAGCCGCGGUAAUACAGAGGGUGCGAGCGUUAAUCGGAUUUACUGGGCGUAAAGCGUGCGUAGGCGGCUUUUUAAGUCGGAUGUGAAAUCCCUGAGCUUAACUUAGGAAUUGCAUUCGAUACUGGAAAGCUAGAGUAUGGGAGAGGAUGGUAGAAUUCCAGGUGUAGCGGUGAAAUGCGUAGAGAUCUGGAGGAAUACCGAUGGCGAAGGCAGCCAUCUGGCCUAAUACUGACGCUGAGGUACGAAAGCAUGGGGAGCAAACAGGAUUAGAUACCCGUGUAGUCC